rnacentral:rRNA from 1 species
GUAUAUGGGCAUACCACCCUGACAUGCCCAAUCUCAUCUGAUCUUGGAAGCUAAGCAGGGUCCGACCUGGUUAGCACUUGGAUGGGGGGAUUAAGACACUUGUGAGAGGAACCAUAGCUA